rnacentral:miRNA from 1 species
AACACCAUAUUCUUGCAAUGCAUC